GAUGAACGCUGGCGGCGUGCCUAAUACAUGCAAGUCGAGCGAACGGACGAGAAGCUUGCUUCUCUGAUGUUAGCGGCGGACGGGUGAGUAACACGUGGAUAACCUACCUAUAAGACUGGGAUAACUUCGGGAAACCGGAGCUAAUACCGGAUGAUAUUUUGAACCGCAUGGUUCAAAAGUGAAAGACGGUCUUGCUGUCACUUAUAGAUGGAUCCGCGCUGCAUUAGCUAGUUGGUAAGGUAACGGCUUACCAAGGCAACGAUGCAUAGCCGACCUGAGAGGGUGAUCGGCCACACUGAACCUAGAACCGGUACCAACCCCCGGCGGGGGGAAGGAGAAGGAAAUUUGCCACAAGGGGCGAAAGCCUAAGGGAGCAACGCGGGGUGAGUGAUAAGGGUUUCUGGAUCUAAAAAUCUUGUUUUUGGGCAAGAACAUAGGUUAAAGUAUGGUGGCACUUCAGGAGGGUACCUAAACAAAAAGCGGCGGAUAACUGCGG
rnacentral:rRNA from 1 species